AAAUGGGAUCGGUUGGCGAAUGAAAAAUCGUUAUGUGCGAAUGUCAAUCGACCGUGUGGAGAGAUUUAUAAAAGAGAAAAAGACAACAACAAAUUUGUGCCUGGAAUAAUUAUUGGACAGUUUAUCGGAAUGCAUAGGCUUAUUGUUUAAGGAGUACACAUUUAUGUACAACUAUCAAAAACGCAAAUGUGCAUGGUUCUGGCUCAAAUUGGUUCGGAUAAUUAAAUAACUAUUUCGUACAAGAAUGGAGAAGGAGGAUUUAAAGCGACAGGUGGAGAUGCUACGGCUACACAAGGAUCUGCAAAGGAUGUUCGUAUCCGAUGCUGUCAAAGACAUGAUGUGCUUCAUCGACCAAAACAUUAGCGAGGACGGCUUGAUCAUACCACCAGACAAGAAGAAGAACCCGUGGGAUAAUUCCAGGAAAUGUGCAAUUUUGUGAAAUCUCGCCAUCAUCCCACUACCAAGAACAUCACUCUGCAUUUGCAUGAUGCUAAUUGGUUUCUUGUCAAUAUUUGUUCCGUUAUUUAGAUAGAUGAUCAUUAUAGACGUGUAGAACAUUUUUCUAAGCUAAUCAUCGAGGUUAUGUAAUAUAUGUAUCAAGCGAUGAAUCAAUUGCUUAUGUAAAAUUGGCACGAUUAGGGUUCCUGCAUUUAUUUAUUAAAAGAAUUGACCCCAUUCAUCUCUAUUUAAGUUCAGUGUUCUUUUACUAUAACUGAAGUUGUCUACAAAUAAACGAAUCGAUUUCAGCAUACGUACAUUAUACUUGUACGCAAUCGUUAUUGAACAAACUAUGUGUGGCAGCUCAAAAUCGAGUCUACUGUAAAGAUGAAGUUAUGUACUUUUAAUAAGCGUAUUUAAAUUAGUAAACGGGUUUGUUAAUGAUCUUCUUUGUCGUUGGAGUAAAAUAUUUGUGUUGGUGUUGUUGUUCGAAUAUUUGUGGACAUAUUAUUAUUUAAAUCACUGCAGGGGAGUUCAAGUUCAAGCAUUUUCAUUAGUUUUAUGUACAUUGUAGAUCAUAUUUUUAGAUGUCAGUUCUGAUUCUUUUUCCAACAGUAACAACUGAAUAAUGAAUUGUUUCAACACGUUUUGAGCCACAUAUUCGUAUGGAGAUGUACAAUUUAAUGUUGUGAUUUAUAGGAACAACUGUAUGUAAACAUGCAGCAUAAAUACCCUAGUCUGUACGGAAAAUGAAGUGUACGUGAACACUUUUUUCGUGAGCUUGCACAUAUUUCAGUUAGGAAUAAAGAUUUUGAUAUAGAAUUGUACAUGUGAUCAUUCGACUACAUUCUGUGCAAGCUAAGAAAUUAAUCAUUCGUUCGUGACGAACUUUAAUAAGUGGGGCAGGUAGCUUGCAAAUUGCUCGGUUGCGCUCCUGAAUAUUCAUAUGAGCCACAUUCUGUUUAUAAAUUAAUGAUAUAUUUUUCUGUUGGAUGAAACUAAAUAAAUUUAUAAUUAUAUCGCACUUCACCAUUUUCAUGUGCAAAACAGGAAUAAUGCCUUCCCCGAGUGCUAAGGCAUCCGAUCGUCACGGAUAAAUGAUCUUAUAGUGAGCUUGCACAGAAUGCAGUCAGUGAUCACAUAUAUAUUUAAUCAAAAUCUUUACUCAUAAUUGAGAUAUUAAAAUUUGAAAAGUGUUGCGUUAAAAGAAAAUCUUCAAGUGUUUCGUAAUACCUACGAGACCAAGUUUUGCAUGACGAAUUGUAAUCAUUUCAUUUCGUCUUGCUUUCCUAGAAAGCAAACGUGAAAUAGUGGGAGCGUUCACGUGAACUAAAUAGGAAUGAUAUACUUGAUCACGAAUGGCUUAAACGUACAAUACUAUGUUACCGCACUUUAAACCAGUAUCAUUUAAGGAAACUCCUUCUUUGAAACAAAAUGGCCAUUAAUAUUAACAUUAACUGGUAUAUUGACUUUAUUCAGUCACUAUAUUAAAAGUAUAGCAUUAUUAUACUGAUAUUCGUUGUUUUUUAAAUGAGCAUGCUACCGAAAGUAUCCCGUUAGAAGCAAAUAUGCGUGUAUAUAAUUCGAAACAAUUCAAUCAAAAAGAUUGUCAUUGUUAAUAGGACAAUAUUUUACUAAGAUAAUCCAUUUAUUUCAUUCUAAUUUUAACAUUUUUUUUCCGCAUUUGUGAAUAUCAUCGGUUAUUAAUAAUCUAAUAAUCGAAUAUUUAAGAUGCAUCACAGAUUUAGUCUGAACCAUUUGCGUCUCUCUUUUUUGAGAUUAUUUAUAUAAAAUAAUACUACCAUUUAACUCAUAGUGUAGAGGCAAUGAAACGACUGUUUAAAAUGAUAAGGUAUGUUACUUUAAUAGUACAUCUUGCAUCAGUUAUUUUAUUUUUAUUUUUUGAUUGCGUUUAUUGAUGGAUGCUUUUUAUCUUGUAUUUCUGUCAAUAUGUUUGGUCAUAAUAAGUAUUUCGCUUGUUUUAUUUUAGUUCUUCAAUUGUAUACUGUUGAUUGUCCCGAUUCAAGGACAUUGUACAUAUUAAUUAACUAAAUUUUCAUAUGUUAUCACUUUUAACAAUUAAAACAAUAUAUACAUACACUAGUGAAAGAAUAUAACGCACAAUGACAUAUUUCAAAUGUGAUAAACACAGAUUUAAACAUGGUAUUUCUGUAACAGUUUAGAAUGCGUUCUAAGGUCGCAAAAGAACAUCGAGCAUUUUUAUUACGUUAAAAACACAGAAAAUAUAGCAUUUAACAUUGUUAUAAACCAUAUUAUUAUCUUCUAUUCAGCGCGCAAGAAUUUUAUAUGUUACUAUAUCUUAAUGUUUGUUUUUCAUUUGCAUGAUAUCAAUAAUAUACUAACUUUUCACAUUCCUGUGUAUAUGAUGUAUACAAAGAAAUACGUGUGAACUGUUAAAUGGCAUUUAAUAAAAUUAAUUAAACGGAUAACUUAUUUUCAAUUUAUAUAUUGGUCUUUCAUAUACAACUGUAACAGGGAUAUAAAUAUUGCAUAUAUCAAUAAUAGAUGGGUAUUAUCAAAUUGAACAUGUGGUUUAAAAUCUAUAACUUAGUAACUGCAGUAAAAGUUAUACAAAUCUUGAUGCAAAACACUUACAAAGUUUCAAAGAACUUGUUUAAGUACCAUUUACAUAGUUCAUAAAUUUAAU